GACGAACGCUUGCGGCGUGCUUAACACAUGCAAGUCGAACGGAAAGGCCCUGCUUUUGUGGGGUGCUCGAGUGGCGAACGGGUGAGUAACACGUGAGUAACCUGCCCUUGACUUUGGGAUAACUUCAGGAAACUGGGGCUAAUACCGGAUAGGAGCUCCUGCUGCAUGGUGGGGGUUGGAAAGUUUCGGCGGUUGGGGAUGGACUCGCGGCUUAUCAGCUUGUUGGUGGGGUAGUGGCUUACCAAGGCUUUGACGGGUAGCCGGCCUGAGAGGGUGACCGGCCACAUUGGGACUGAGAUACGGCCCAGACUCCUACGGGAGGCAGCAGUGGGGAAUAUUGCACAAUGGGCGGAAGCCUGAUGCAGCAACGCCGCGUGCGGGAUGACGGCCUUCGGGUUGUAAACCGCUUUCGCCUGUGACGAAGCGUGAGUGACGGUAAUGGGUAAAGAAGCACCGGCUAACUACGUGCCAGCAGCCGCGGUGAUACGUAGGGUGCGAGCGUUGUCCGGAUUUAUUGGGCGUAAAGGGCUCGUAGGUGGUUGAUCGCGUCGGAAGUGUAAUCUUGGGGCUUAACCCUGAGCGUGCUUUCGAUACGGGUUGACUUGAGGAAGGUAGGGGAGAAUGGAAUUCCUGGUGGAGCGGUGGAAUGCGCAGAUAUCAGGAGGGAACACCAGUGGCGAAGGCGGCUCUCUGGGCCUUUCCUGACGCUGAGGAGCGAAAGCGUGGGGAGCGAACAGGCUUAGAUACCCUGGUAGUCCACGCUGUAAACGGUGGGUACUAGGUGUGGGGUCCAUUCCACGGGUUCCGUGCCGUAGCUAACGCUUUAAGUACCCCGCCUGGGGAGUACGGCCGCAAGGCUAAAACUCAAAGGAAUUGACGGGGCCCCGCACAAGCGGCGGAGCAUGCGGAUUAAUUCGAUGCAACGCGUAGAACCUUACCUGGGUUUGACAUGGAUCGGGAGUGCUCAGAGAUGGGUGUGCCUCUUUUGGGGUCGGUUCACAGGUGGUGCAUGGCUGUCGUCAGCUCGUGUCGUGAGAUGUUGGGUUAAGUCCCGCAACGAGCGCAACCCUUGUUCACUGUUGCCAGCACGUUAUGGUGGGGACUCAGUGGAGACCGCCGGGGUCAACUCGGAGGAAGGUGGGGAUGACGUCAAGUCAUCAUGCCCCUUAUGUCCAGGGCUUCACGCAUGCUACAAUGGCUGGUACAGAGAGUGGCGAGCCUGUGAGGGUGAGCGAAUCUCGGAAAGCCGGUCUCAGUUCGGAUUGGGGUCUGCAACUCGACCUCAUGAAGUCGGAGUCGCUAGUAAUCGCAGAUCUGCAACGCUGCGGUGAAUACGUUCCCGGG
rnacentral:rRNA from 1 species